UACGAAGGGGGCUAGCGUUGCUCGGAAUCACUGGGCGUAAAGGGCGCGUAGGCGGCUUCGCAAGUCAGAGGUGAAAGCCCGGGGCUCAACCCCAGAACUGCCUUUGAGACUGCGUCGCUCGAAUCCGGGAGAGGUGAGUGGAAUUCCGAGUGUAGAGGUGAAAUUCGUAGAUAUUCGGAAGAACACCAGUGGCGAAGGCGGCUCACUGGACCGGCAUUGACGCUGAGGUGCGAAAGCGUGGGGAGCAAACAGG
rnacentral:rRNA from 1 species